rnacentral:rRNA from 1 species
GAUGAACGCUAGCGGCAGGCUUAAUACAUGCAAGUCGAGGGACAGCACAGGUAGCAAUACUGGGUGGUAACCGGCAAACGGGUGCGGAACACGUACACAACCUUCCUUUAAGUGGGGGAUAGCCCAGAGAAAUUUGGAUUAAUACCCCGUAAUAUAGUUGAAUGGCUUCAUUUGAUUAUUAUAGCUACGGCGCUUAAUGAUGGGUGUGCGGCUGAUUAGAUAGUUGGCGGGGUAACGGCCCACCAAGUAUACGAUCAGUAGUUGAUGUGAGAGCAUGAUCAGCCACACGGGCACUGAGACACGGGCCCGACUCCUACGGGAGGCAGCAGUAAGGAAUAUUGGUCAAUGGACGCAAGUCUGAACCAGCCAUGCCGCGUGAAGGAUUAAGGUCCUCUGGAUUGUAAACUUCUUUUAUUUGGGACGAAAAAGGGCCUUUCUAGGUCAACUGACGGUACCAGAUGAAUAAGCACCGGCUAACUCCGUGCCAGCCGCCGCUGUAA